rnacentral:tRNA from 4 species
CCCGCCAUAGUUUCACUAUAAAACGCCGACUUGCAAACUCGGAGAAGGAAGUAAGAUUUUCCUGGUGCGU